AUGCCUUGGCCACCGCUUGAUCGAAACCACUCCUUGGCGAUCGAUCGCGGCGGCGAUCGAUUCCGACCGCGCGUGGAGCACGUUCUGUUCCCUUUCCCUUUCCUGCUAGUUUCUAUUUUGGGAAAACCCACUCGACCACCGCAUCUUAUCCUAUCCCCUGCGCCUCGCCUCCCUACUCUGCCCUGCCGCUUCCCCUCCUCGCCGGCGGCUCCUUCCUCGCGGCAGCCCACUAUCCCCGGCGCCUCGCCUCCCUACUCUGCCCUGCCGCUUCCCCUCCUCGCCGGCGGCUCCUCCCUAGCGGCAGCGACCAAUACGGCGAGACGACGCGGCCGCACGAGUGCCGGCAAGGUCAGCGGUGAAUACGGCGAGGCGCCGCAGCCGCACGAGCCCCCGCAAGGUCAACGGCGAAUAGGGCGAGGCGCCGCGGCCGCACGAGCGGCGGCGAGGUCAGCAUACGGCGAGGCGCCGCGUCCGCACGGGCGGCAGGGGCCAAGGCGGAGCGGCCGCACAGCCGCCGCGAUUUCCAGGGGCGGAAGCGGCCAAUACGGCGAGGCAGUGUUUGUCCGGCGGCCUCCAUAUGUUGAAGCCCUGCUGACACAGCAGCCUAAGAAUGUCGGAAGUGUAUCGUUCUGUGAUGAUUCUGCCAACAAACAAAGGAAGAACAAGGAAGAAGAGAAUUCUUGUCCUGUUGCAGUGCAGUUGCCAUCUGAAGAAGGCGAUCAAGAGCUGAAGCAACAUGGAGCAUCCCGGCCAUCCUUGAAUUCUCCUGGCAGCAGGAGGCACAGGCGCAGAGGUAACAGAAAGAAGGGGGAAGAUGGUUCUGCUUCGAGUCCUAUUGAAGCUCAUGUGCCAUCUGAAAAAACGAAGCAAAACAAGUCAAAUUCUCCUGGCAAUAGAAGGCACAGGUGUCGUGGUAACAGCAAGGAGUUGCAUGAUUCUGCUCUGAGUCCUGAUGAAGCUCAUGUGCCAUCUGAAAAAGGGAAGCAAAAGAAGAAGUGGAAUUCUCCUGGCAACAGAAGGACCAAAAGUCCUGGUAACAGGAAGAAGUCAAAUUCUCCUGGCAACAGAAGGACCAACAGUCCUGGUAACAGGAAGAAGGAAGAAGAUGAUUUAAUUUCUUUGAAAGGACUAAUCCUCAUCAGCAUGAGUAUCGGGGGCCAUCCUCCUUGGAAUUUUGUCACUCUGUUUUUCUUGCUGGUCAAAGUGCGAGUACUGACAGGGGUUUUUGUUCUUAGAUUUGGCCACCGGAGAGGAUUGGUUCGAUUGGUUCAAAGGAGUAGGACACGGCCAGGCCCUGCAUUUGUUGGUGCAUCUUCAUGUCUACCAUUUGAUACUUCACAAUUUUGGUCCUUGCCCCCCGGAAGCCAACCCCGUUCAGCGAAUCUAUGGCAUGACUCAAUUGGGGGGAUCUUUUUGGAUGAAAUUCUGAACACUAUUCAAAGAAAUAAGCAGCUGGCAUUUGUUCAAGAAUAUACUAAGUCUGUGAACAUUGUUUGUUUCUCUGUAGCCAUUUGUUCAAGAAUAGCGUGGCCUCCGAACAUUCAGCAAAAGAGGGACAUUGUGAAUUUACUAGAUUGCGACAAGUCUACACAGGGAAUAGGCCGAGUUUGCAAUGAGCAGCUUGCAGAGCUACUAUGGCCUGAGUUCUCAAAGAGGAGAUGGCAUGGAUUUAAGUACAUUAAUGUCCUUGUACAGCAAGGGAAGCUCCCAAGUAUGCGUUUGAAUAUGGACACAGACUCAAAGAACGGUGGGAUCUUUAUGUGGUCGGGCUCCAAGUGGACCUUCAACCAUGAGUCCUUCACCUGUCCGUUGCUCGACGGUCUGCCCAAACCUGUGCCGGGUCAGCGGCGAUCACACAACGGACGGGAUUAUGGAGUCGUCAAACGACAUUACAGUUGCAUCAAAGGUUAA
rnacentral:rRNA from 1 species